AGGCCCACUGUUUGUUCGUUGCAAGGUUUCAAUACACUAUUGAAUGAAAGAGAGAGAGAGAGAAGCCAGCUGAGAGUACAACUCGGCACCACAGGUAGUGAAUUUGAGUGCGAAGGAUGUCUAACCUGGUUAAUGCUCAUUUAAAAGAGUAGAAAUGUGCGUGUUCCUAGAGGUAUCAUGUUUGGAUGGCUAUUCUUCGGCAUUAAUCCCUCAACCUCUGGAGUACAAUCAGUAUGGAGAAAGGGGAGGCGGUGGUGUCGUGGUAGUAUCACUUGACUAGGAAUUAGAAAAUCACUUUAUAAAGAAUUUCAUAGGAUGUGAAUAUCCAGCUCAAGCGUGGGUUUCGGGAACAUGGACCAAUUUCCUUCCCUGAAUUGGUUGGUUGAUUAAAUAAACACUUUUUAUUCUGGAUCAUUCUGUGACUUUAUGCCCAGGAUUUAUUCUGUAAAGGCCCAGAAGAUUCUACAGUUGCUAUGGAAACCUCAGAGAAUGAAUGUUUACAGGCUACAUCCCCAUACUUACUUAAAGAAGUUGUCUUCGGUGGCACAAUCAUCAUCCAACAUCACCAUGGGUCUACAAUGCCUUCUGUUCCUGAGACAUGGGAUUAUUUUUUCCAAUAUAAACUGUGACUGAGAGAUACCUCAUGCAGUUGGCUGUUUGCCUGCAGUCUAAAAGCAUUUCUGGAGGACUGGAGAGAGAGAACGUCGCACAACUGAUUGAAUCUAAAGCAUAUGAAACAGGACCUGCACACAUUGACUUGUAUCACAAGACUUUCUUCAACUUUCUCAUUCUUUGAAAGAUUGUGUUAUCCUUUCAGUUGAACUAAUUUGCUGCCAAUGGUGUUGUAAUUGUCUAGUUUUUACAUAAAGCUUCUGGG